rfam:Monodelphis domestica chrTn_v05.000056 genomic scaffold, whole genome shotgun sequence.
UCUUCCAUGAUGAUUUCUAACUAGAUGACUUUCGUUCUUCUGAGUUUGCUGAAGCCAUGCUUAGAAUCUGAGCAAGA